rnacentral:rRNA from 1 species
GACGAACGCUGGCGGCGUGCUUAACACAUGCAAGUCGAACGGAAAGGCCCUGCUUUUGUGGGGUGCUCGAGUGGCGAACGGGUGAGUAACACGUGAGUAACCUGCCCUUGACUUUGGGAUAACUUCAGGAAACUGGGGCUAAUACCGGAUAGGAGCUCCUGCUGCAUGGUGGGGGUUGGAAAGUUUCGGCGGUUGGGGAUGGACUCGCGGCUUAUCAGCUUGUUGGUGGGGUAGUGGCUUACCAAGGCUUUGACGGGUAGCCGGCCUGGGAGGGUGACCGGCCGCAUUGGGACUGAGAUACGGCCCAGAGUCCUACGGGAGGCAGCAGUGGGGAAUAUUGCACAAUGGGCGGAAGCCUGAUGCAGCAACGCCGCGUGCGGGAUGACGGCCUUCGGGUUGUAAACCGCUUUCGCCUGUGACGAAGCGUGAGUGACGGUAAUGGGUAAAGAAGCACCGGCUAACUACGUG